rnacentral:rRNA from 1 species
UAGGCUGCAACUCGCCUACAUGAAGUCGGAGUUGCUAGUAAUCGCGGAUCAGAAUGCCGCGGUGAAUGCAUUCCCGGGUCUUGUACACACCGCCCGUCACACCAUGGAAGUUGGGGGCGCCCGAAGUUGGUCGGGAAAUAGAUUACCUAAGGCGAAACCAAUGACUGGGGUGAAGUCGUAACAAGGUACC